rnacentral:misc_RNA from 1 species
GAUGAAGAACGCAGCGAAAUGCGAUACGUAAUGUGAAUUGCAGAAUUCAGUGAAUCAUCGAAUCUUUGAACGCACAUUGCGCCCAUUAGCAUUCUAGUGGGCAUGCCUGUUCGAGCGUCAUUUCAACCCUUAAGCCCUGUUGCUUAGCGUUGGGAGCCUACAGUACUGUAGCUCCCCAAAGUUAGUGGCGGAGUCGGUUUCACACUCUAGACGUAGUAAUUUUUUCUCGUCUGUAGUUGAGCCGGUCCCCUGCCGUAAAACACCCAAUUUAUCAAGGUUGACCUCGGAUCAGGUAGGAAUACCCGCUGAACUUAAGCAUAUCAAUAAGCGGAGGA